rnacentral:piRNA from 1 species
UAGGCCUCAUUUUCUAUUGUCUGCGAGAC